rnacentral:rRNA from 1 species
GAUGAACGCUGGCGGCGUGCCUAAUACAUGCAAGUCGAGCGAAUGGAUUGAGAGCUUGCUCUUAUGAAGUUAGCGGCGGACGGGUGAGUAACACGUGGGUAACCUGCCCAUAAGACUGGGAUAACUCCGGGAAACCGGGGCUAAUACCGGAUAACAUUUUGAACCGCAUGGUUCGAAAUUGAAAGGCGGCUUCGGCUGUCACUUAUGGAUGGACCCGCGUCGCAUUAGCUAGUUGGUGAGGUAACGGCUCACCAAGGCAACGAUGCGUAGCCGACCUGAGAGGGUGAUCGGCCAACCCGGGACUGAGACACGGCCCAGACGCCUACGGGAGGCAGCAGUAGGGAAUCUUCCGCAAUGGACGAAAGUCUGACGGAGCAACGCCGCGUGAGUGAUGAAGGCUUUCGGGUCGUAAAACUCUGUUGUUAGGGAAGAACAAGUGCUAGUUGAAUAAGCUGGCACCUUGACGGUACCUAACCAGAAAGCCACGGCUAACUACGUGCCAGCCGCCGCGGUAA